ACGCACGCUGGCGGCGUGCCUCAUACAUGCAAGUAGAACGCUGAAGGAGGAGCUUGCUUCUCCGGAUGAGUUGCGAACGGGUGAGUAACGCGUAGGUAACCUGCCUGGUAGCGGGGGAUAACUAUUGGAAACGAUAGCUAAUACCGCAUAAGAGUAGAUGUCGCAUGACAUUUGCUUAAAAGGUGCAACUGCACCACUACCAGAUGGACCUGCGUUGUAUUAGCUAGUUGGUGAGGUAACGGCUCACCAAGGCAACGAUACAUAGCCGACCUGAGAGGGUGAUCGGCCACACUGGGACUGAGACACGGCCCAGACUCCUACGGGAGGCAGCAGUAGGGAAUCUUCGGCAAUGGACGGAAGUCUGACCGAGCAACGCCGCGUGAGUGAAGAAGGUUGUCGGAUCGUAAAGCUCUGUUGUAAGAGAAGGACGAGUGUGAGAGUGGAAAGUUCACACUGUGACGGUAUCUUACCAGAAAGGGACGGCUAACUACGUG
rnacentral:rRNA from 1 species